UGGGGAAGUAUUGGACAAUGGGCGGCAAGCCUGAUCCAGCCAUGCCGCGUGUGUGAAGAAGGCCUUAUGGUUGUAAAGCACUUUAAGCGAGGAGGAGGCUACUUUAGAUAGUACCUAGAGAUAGUGGACGUUACUCGCAGAAUAAGCACCGGCUAACUCUGUGCCAG
rnacentral:rRNA from 1 species